rnacentral:rRNA from 1 species
AACGUAGGGGGCAAGCGUUGUUCGGAAUUACUGGGCGUAAAGCGCGUGUAGGCGACUUGGUAAGUCGGAAGUGAAAGCCCUCGGCUCAACCGGGGAACUGCUUUCGAAACUGCCAGGCUUGAAUGCGGGAGGGGAGAGCGGAAUUCCCGGUGUAGCGGUGAAAUGCGUAGAUAUCGGGAAGAACACCGGUGGCGAAGGCGGCUCUCUGGACCGUGAUUGACGCUGAGACGCGAAAGCGUGGGGAGCAAACAGG